CAGUAGCCGCGGGAACACCAGCACCUCGAGUGGUCAGGAGGUUUAUUGGGCCUAAAGCAUCCGUAGCCGGUUGCAUAAGUUUUCGGUUAAAUCUAUGCGCUUAACGUAUAGGCCGCCGAAAAUACUGUGCAGCUAGGGAGUGGGAGAGGUACACGGUACUCGAUAGGAAGGGGUAAAAUCCUUUGAUCUAUUGAUGACCACCUGUGGCGAAGGCGGUGUACCAGAACACGUUCGACGGUGAGGGAUGAAAGCUGGGGGGGCAAACCGGAUUAGAUACCCCCGUAGUCCCUGUCUCUUAUAC
rnacentral:rRNA from 1 species